rnacentral:rRNA from 1 species
UACAGGGGGUGCAAACGUGCUCGGAAUUAUUGGGCGUAAAGCGCGCGUAGGCGGCUACUUAAGUCGGAUGUGAAAACCUGGGGCUCAACCCCGGGCUUUCAGCCGAUACGGGCAGACUAGAAUUCGGUAGGGGAGACUGGAAUUCCUGGUGUAGCGGUGAAAUGCGUAGAUAUCUGGGAGGAAACACCCGGUGGCGAAGGCGACAUC